AUUUCUCUCUUCCCUAAGGACAUACUGAAUUCAUUUAUACAACAGAGAAUGAAGUAAAACUGUCCUGCAACACCAACAAAUGGCAAAUAAGCACAAAGUCUGACAACAUAAUUGAUGUGAAUUGCACAGUGAAGUGUGUUCCUGGUGAACCACUCAGACUUAACAAUAUCCAUGAAUUCCAUACAAAUAACGAAUCAGACAAAGUUGAUGAAAAAUUUCCGCUAAUAGCAUCAAGUGGAUUUUUUCGAUGUGUCACUGCUCUGGAUUCUGGUUUCUUGUAUCCAUUCAAACCGUCUCCCAACACUGUCACGUCAUACAUAGUCGCCACUGCAAAUGAAGCCAUAACAACCAAGUCUGUGGAGAGAUCUUCAGUCGAGCUAACUGAAGGAGAAGAUGUACUUUUAAACUGCAGUUUCAUCUUUACAGAAGGAUAUAACAGUGAGGAUUUCUCUGUUUACUGGAUCAAGACCAUUGAAAAGAACAGUAUCUGUGUGUAUUCUUAUGAUCUUGAAAACGCUUAUGGUAUAGAGUACAAUCGUCAUUGCAAUGUGCAAGAAGAUCUGCUUCACAGACUCUCAAACCAAACUGACGGCAGAAACACCAACCAUAACAUCAGGAUCAGUAACGUAACAGAGUCAGAUGCUGGACAAUAUCUUUGUGUUUUACAAGUGCGCCAUUAUAAUAAAGCAAAAGCAACAUGGAAGAUCAUAAAUAAUGUUACAGUCAGUGUACCUAAAGGAUCUGAGGACAAAGGAUCUGGAAUAGCUGAAAUAAUGACAGAUGGCGAGUCUCUCAUCCGCUUAUGUGUUACACUGCCAAUAAUACUGGGUGUUCCGAUAGCUGUUGUGGUGGUACGUUUAUGGAAAAAGAAUAAAACCUCUCCAAGAUCUCAGACUAUGGAACUGAAAACAAUCCAACAUAGAGAUGAAACUUAAAUGAACUUUGAAGCACGAGAACAACACAGCACUUAGGAAGAAUGUUUAAGAUGUGUUUAAUAUGUUCUCUUUAUUAAGAUUUCUUUUACUUAUUUUAAUGCUCCUAUUAUUAUACAGUAUGUCUUUCUCAUUUCAAAUGUAUAAAAUCAAUACAUCAUAUAUAUAUAUAUAUAUAUAUAUAUAUACAGUAUUCUUUUUAUUCAGACUGUAAGACAUAAAAACGUUAGUAAGUGUUUAAUGAUGAAAAAUUAUUAUGGCAAUAAACAUUUAAUAUAUUUGUAGCAAUAUGUACAGUACAUUUACAGCAGGGAUCUCCAACCUUUUUUCCUCUGAGAGUUACUGGUGUUAUAUUAUUAGUAACAUUUAUUUACAUAGCUUAUUGCCAUAAACCAAACCAGCUGAAUGAGCUAUUUUUGUGUGAAUUUAAAAGAAAAUGUCAACAUCAGUCAUAUUUUGCAAUAAAUCAUUUUAAUUCACAUAAGCAGCAGUUGAGUCGAGUUAAUUGAUUUAACACAACGGGGUUGCUGAUUAGAUUUAUCAGUUAUUUAUGUCAGAUUUCAUUUAUUCACAUGUUAUUUAUCAGCAAACUGUUACUUAUAAGUCCCCUGUUACAGAACCUGAUGGCCUCAGCAAGACCGAAAAAAAAAAACGGCCAAGUGGUUUAUUUAUCUUUUAUCCAAACUACUUCAGUCUGCUUGAUGAAGCAUGUACCCACGGAGAAGCAGGCGAGCGACAUGUAGGAGACCCCUGAUUUACGAGAUGUUCUUAAGAGGUUUGACAGACUGACAUGGAGAACUGCUCAGUGAGAGCUUUCACACAAUCAGGGACAUGCUACAGCUAGCUACAGAAAUAUAAAUGCAAUUUUACAAUUUAUACCGCUACAGGAAUCUUCAGCCAAGUGUAAUUAUAAUAAAAACGCAAUGACAAUAUUUGUGUUUGCAAAUACUAUUUUCCAGAAACCCACUGACAAAUGCUCACCCUUACUUUUGCAGUAAAAAAAAAGGUUCAGGUUCUCUGUAUGAUGUAGGGAGUGAAGAAGAUUAGAUUAAGAUCGGAUUCAAGCAGGAUUCUUCAAAGCAAGGUCACACACAUCUGAAGUAGAAUGAUUUAUAUGAAGGUAUUUAAAGGCAUGUGAUUUAGUUUUUUUACUGAUCUAAAUUUGAACACAUUACCUAGGUAAAAUAUAUUCAUAACAUGGGAGGAUUAAUAUCUAUCAAGCAAAAUUGAAAAUGGAAAUUUCAGAAUUACACCUUGGGUCUUCAUCUGGUCUAGCAAUCAAAUCUUCCAUAUAUAAUGUACCUUUCAUAUUUUAAGAUUUGUCUAGUACUGUAUGCAGUGUCAUUGAUUUCCUGAUUGGCUAUGGUUCAAAAGUUGUGCUGUUUUCAUUUACAUUGUUUCAGUUGUUUGAUUCUGUCAGGAGCUACUGGGACAGUUCCCUGUCUGACCACCAGAGGGGGAGCUGGCAGGCAAUUCACCAUAGCAUGCUUUUUGUUUCUGUAAUCCUCAUGUGUGUUGUGCCACAUCCUUCCUAUUGUUCCUCUUUUCCCCGGUCACCUGUUCCUCAUUUAACCUAAUGUUUUGUCCUAUAUAUACCAACCCUUUUGUAUGUGUCUAUCUCAGUCACUGUUUUUUGUUUGUUUUUCGUGUGGUUCGGUUAUUGUGUUUCCAUGUUCCAUGUUAUUGUUAUGUUUCGUACCUCAUGCGGUAUUUGUCCAAUGUUCUGUGUAAGCCUUAUUUAGCUCUGUUAAUAAAGCAGCAAUUUUAUCCUCUCACAGGUCUGAUAAAAUGCAUGUGGGUUAUGUCAACUAGCAGGGAGAUCCGGGUUUGAUCCCUGCUUCAGGAAGUGUGUCCUGAAAGUUACAGAUUCAUAUCUCUUUGUAAUGAAGACAUUUAUGUUUAUGCAUGAUAUAUGUAUAAUUUGUUUAUCUAUAUGUUUCUGUAUACUGUUAAUAUUCUACAUUAAUAUAUGUAAGCUGCGGCCGCAAAAGCUGUGGCCGAAAAAGUUUCUGCGUUCCUCUUCUGCUAAUAAGUCAUAUCUCAAUGACGUUCUCUUGAACAUGAAGGAAUAACAGAUAAACAGUAAAGACUGAAAAAGUCAGGAAAGCAGAAACCCACAGGAGUCUCAGUUAUCAAAUUAUAUUAAUGAAUUGACAUUGUGAGAGACAUGUCACAUAGUAUCAUUACAGGUCUGCUUUCUGACAUGUAAAAUCUUAAAUGCUCUUAUGUGGAUAAACUGGUUCAUUGUGCUCUGAAGUACAAAUAUGCUUACCUCUAGUCCAGACCAUGUUGCUCUAUUUCUGUAUUCUGUCUCCUUGAAGCUUCAAAAGAACAAAAUCCACCUUUUUUGGGCCAAGUCAGAGCCCAAACCCAAUAGAAAUGCCGUGGAAUGACUUGAUGAGACACUCACUUAUGAGACGUCCAAAGAAUAUGACAGAGCUAAAGCAGGUCUACCAGGAAGAAUGGGCUAAAAUUCCCCCUGAAUGAUGUGCAGGUCUGAUUCACAGCUACAGGAAGCGCUUGGUUGAAAUUAUUGCUGCCAAGAGGGGAUCAACCAGUUAUUAAUUCAAAGGGUUCACUUACUUUUUCCACUACCAUUUUGUAUAUUGAAUGAGUUUUCAAUAAAGACAAGAAAGAUCAGAUUUUUUUGUUAUUAUUUAAGCACAUUACAUUUGUCAAUACUCUUGACUUAGAUGAAGAUCAGACCACAUUUUAUGACAAAUUUAUGCAGAAAACCAUAAAAUUCCAAAAGGUUCACAUACUUUUUCUUACCACUGUUCAUUCGCACACCAGCUUCUGUAUAUACUACCUGUCAUAGCUUUAUUUAUUUGUUGUACAUGUAUUUACAUAUUCAUCUGCACUUGCUCAUUUGCACAUUGAUACUAUUUGCACUUCUAGUAGAUGCUAAACAGCAUUUCAUUACUAUGUACUUUUUGUGAAAUCAUAAGAAAAGUGGAGAAUAUAUAAUGGGUUUUAACAGUUUUAAAACCAGUGUGUUAGUCUUUGGAAAUGUGCUGCAAAAAGUGUACGGUGUUUUUGGUCUGCAUAGACUUCAGUAUCGCUGACUUUAGUUUACACAGUGUAUUUUAAAAGCUCCUAUUAAACAACCAUAAGAACUCUUUAUCUGUUUAUUAUGAAUAGUGUAUUUGUAUUUGGUUAUACAAUUAGACUGUGUUCUAAGGUGUAGUGGUGACUUUAGCCUAAAGGUGGGGUCUUUGAUUUUGUGAUAUCUUAUAUCUCACUGUAAUGCCAUCAGCAGCAGCCUGGAGCAUGUACACACACACACACACACAUGCACACACUCUCAGACCACAAGUUGUGACAUUCACCACAGUCUAUAUGUCUGUUUGUUUUUCUGAUGACUUGCACAAAAAGUCUUGCACAGAACAAAUUUAUUUCCUGCAUCAGCCAAAAAUCUGUUCACCACAUUGAGCACUAUACUUCUUAAUCCAAUGGAAUUCAAGAUCUUCAAAGAUUCAGACAAGGUUGGUGAAAAAUAUCUGCUAAUAGAAGCAAGUGGAUUCCAAGAGCAAAAACCAGAUGAACAAGAACAAGAUGUCCAACAGCUCUGUUUAGUUCAGUUCAGCUCAGCCCUACUGUCACUGACACACUGCAAACCCCCAAUACACACAUUUACACAAACUUUGAAAUCAGAUACAGAUGUGCCAUGUUCAUUUGUUCAUUCCCCAACACUCCCUCUAAACCACACCCCCACAUGUGACAAUAC